rnacentral:rRNA from 1 species
CUACGUAGGGGGCGAGCGUUGUCCGGAAUGAUUGGGCGUAAAGGGCGCGUAGGCGGCUUUGCAAGUCAGUAGUGGAAGUCCAUUUUUCAAGGAUGGAAGUGCUACAGAAACUGCGGAGCUUGAGUGCAGGAGAGGUUAUCGGAAUUCCCGGUGUAGCGGUGAAAUGCGUAGAGAUCGGGAGGAACACCAGUGGCGAAGGCGGGUAACUGGACUGCAACUGACGCUGAGGCGCGAAAGUGUGGGGAGCAAACAGGAUUAGAUACCCUGGUAGUCCACGCUGUAAACGAUGAAUACUAGGUGUGGGGGGACUGACCCCCUCCGUGCCGCAGUUAACACAAUAAGUAUUCCACCUGGGGAGUACGAUCGCAAGAUUGAAACUCAAAUGAAUUGACGGGG